AACGAACGCUGGCGGCAGGCUUAACACAUGCAAGUCGAACGCGUGCAGCAAUGCACGAGUGGCGCACGGGUGAGUAACGCGUGGAUAUCUGCCUUCUGGUUCGGAAUAACCCCGGGAAACUGGGGCUAAUACCGAAUGGUUCCUACGGGAUAAAGAUUUAUCGCCAGAAGAUGAGUCCGCGUCCGAUUAGCUAGUUGGUGAGGUAACGGCUCACCAAGGCGACGAUCGGUAGCUGGUCUGAGAGGACGAUCAGCCACACUGGGACUGAGACACGGCCCAGACUCCUACGGGAGGCAG
rnacentral:rRNA from 1 species